CUGCAGUGAUGAGUCUGAUAGAGACUGAUCUGGUAUUGAUUUCCCUCCGGGGAAAACUCUGACCAGGGAAUGAUCUCACUUUAAUCUUCUCUCUGAGCAG
rnacentral:snoRNA from 1 species